rnacentral:rRNA from 1 species
GUUCCCUCCUCCUCUUUCCUCCCUUCCUCCCCAUUGAUGGCCGAUCUUAUUGGGCCUAAAGCGUCCGUAGCUGGCCGCGCAAGUCCAUCUGAACAUCCACCCGCCCAACGGGUGGGCGUCCGGUGGAAACUGCGUGGCUUGGGACCGGAAGGCGCGACGGGUACGUCCGGGGUAGGAGUGAAAUCCCGUAAUCCUGGACGGACCGCCGAUGGCGAAAGCACGUCGCGAAGACGGAUCCGACAGUGAGGGACGAAAGCUAGGGUCUCGAACCGGAUUAGAUACCCUUGAGUCC